UAGGGAAUCUUCGGCAAUGGACGAAAGUACUGACCGAGCAACGCCGCGUGAGUGAAGAAGGUUUUCGGAUCGUAAAACUCUGUUGUUAGAGAAGAACAAGGAUGAGAGUAACUGUUCAUCCCUUGACGGUAUCUAACCAGAAAGCCACGGCUAACUACGUGCCA
rnacentral:rRNA from 1 species